CUCCUUCAGACGCUGCGUGACGUCUUGAUUGCGGAAGUUCCCCGGCAGGAUUAUUCCAACGUGAAUUUGCUGUAAGAUAAAUUUCUCUGAGAAGUUAAGUGAGUUAUUUGAUUUGAUAACAGCGCGUCCGCGAUGGCAGCUCUUAAAUACUCCGGGAUGGACGACACAGACAGUGAAGACGAGCUCCCUCCCGGCUGGGAGGAGAGAUCCACUACAGACGGAUGGGUUUAUUAUGCGAAUCACGAGGAAAUGAAGACUCAAUGGGAGCAUCCCAAAACUGGGAAGAAGAAGCGCUGUGCUGGAGCUUUGCCGUAUGGAUGGGAGCAGGAGACCGAUGAUAAAGGCCAGAUCCUAUAUGUCGAUCACAUCAACAAGCGCAGCACGUUCUUCGACCCUCGGCAGGCCUUCACUGUAGAGGACCUGCAGGUGAAGCCCAAACGCUACGACGGGAACAGCACGGCUCUGGAGGUCCUGCACGCUCGAGAUCUGUCUGACAGAGUGGUGCUGGUCACAGGAGCCAACUCCGGCAUCGGUUUUGAGACUGCCCGAUCUUUCGCUCUUCAUGGUGCUCAUGUGAUCUUAGCGUGCCGAAACCAAAGUCGUGCCAGUAAAGCAGCGAGUCUGAUCAUGGAAGAAUGGCGCAAAGCCCGUGUCGAAGCCAUGCCGCUGGAUUUGGCUUCCUUGAGGAGUGUCCGAGAGUUUGCGGAGAUCUUCAAAGCCAGGAAACUGCCGUUGCACAUCCUGGUGUGUAACGCAGCGGUUUGCACACAGCCCUGGAAUUUAACGGAGGACGGGCUGGAAACCACCUUUCAGAUCUGUCAUCUUGGCCAUUUCUACUUGGUUCAGCUCCUGCAGGACGUCCUGCGCCACUCCGCUCCGGCUCGGGUGGUGGUGGUCUCCUCAGAGUCUCACAGGUUCACAGAUCUGGUGGGCUCGUGUGGGAAGGUGGAGCUGAGUCUGCUUUCCCCUCCGCAGAAGGAGUACUGGUCCAUGCUGGCCUACAACCGCGCCAAACUCUGCAACAUCCUCUUCUCCAACGAGCUGCACCGCCGCAUGUCACCUCACGGCGUCACCUGUAACGCACUGCAUCCUGGGAACAUGAUGUACACCUCCAUCCACCGCAGCUGGUGGCUCAUGACCCUCCUCUUCACCUUCGCUCGGCCCUUCACCAAGUCUAUGCGCUGCUCAUAAACCCCAGUGCUGCAUAAAUCAGGCGGGCAGCUCUUCCUGUAGGCAACACUCUCCCGUUUUAGCCUGAAGAGCUGUGGGCUGCCGGGAGGUCAGUGCUUUCUCAAGGUGAAGGCGCGCGAGGGGUCAUUUCCAGCGAGAGUUCGGAUCCCUCCGUCUCCUGGGGUUUGAGCAGAUGCACCCCCUGCCCCCCUCGCUUCACCCAUGUGUCUGUGUGGCGUGAUUCAGGGCCGGGUCGUGCCAAACACCGGCGCGCGUCUGAGCAGUCGUGCCAGGAAGGAUGCCAACAUCUCCAGAGGGAGAGAGUGAAAUCAUCAAAGCUGAAUGUACACACAUAUAAAAGCCACUUUCAUUUGUUUACACCUUUUAUUUUCUAGAGGCUUUGGAUGGCAAAUAUAUAUUUAAUUGGCACAGGGUUUCUUUCUGAUCUAAAAAUGCCUUUUUAUUUGGAGUGCAAUACAGUAUGUCCUUCUUUUAAACUCCAUUUUUAUGAAUUGUUUAGAUCAUGGGUGUUAUUUAUAUUUUAAUAUGUUUGAUAAUUGCAUUAAGACGCUCAAAUAAGAAUACAUGCAUGAACUGAGUGCCUGUUUUGAACAGUAGGGGGCAUGAUGGGUUAACCGAAGCCCCGUCAACACACAACACUGGCCUGAAAUAAAAGAAAUAUGAACCAGAAAGUAGCUCAAAUCUGUUUCAGAUAUUCCUAAUUAUUUAGUGUUUUUUUUUUUUUUUUUAAGUAAGAUAUUAUAACAGUUAAUAGAUAAAAUAAUUAAUUAAACUUUUUAAAAGUAACCUUUUCUUGUAAUAAAUGGCUGCAACUGCACUUGUAUGUUUCCAGAAGUUUUAUAUGUUUUAGUUUUUCCCUUCAUACAGUCCUCCAAAGAUUCUGGUUCAGGCUACUUACUUUAGAGAGCGAGUGAGACGCAUUCAUUCACAACUGCGCCCGUGACAUGAGAAACCAUUACAAAUACAGAGAAAUACAUUAGAAUUCAAAUCUACAUAUCAAAUUGAGAGACACUUAUUCAAAGGAAAAAGCUAAAAUAAUAGGUUACUGUUGAAAGUGGAGACAAAGGUGAAUUCCAACCAGCGUUUGUGUGCCCUUGAAGGGCACUGCAGGAAGAAAGUGCUUUAGAUGUGUGCACACUGGUCAGUUAAAGACAGGAAUUUUGCCAUCUAUGAUAACAGGAUCCUUGCGGUUCAUGUGUUCAGAAGUCAUUUCUUCUUGCCUGGGAUUUUAAACCCUAAAGAGAGUGCAGUACUUCAGAGUGACGGACUACACCAGUGUUACUCUGCAUCACUGCCAAACCAACUGCUUAUAUGAUGGAUGAGAAAUAUGAAUUGAUUUUAUACUUUUUUAUUGUUUCGUUUAUAUCAUUCAUCCUUUGUCCUUAUUUGGUGUUAUUUAUUUGCUUUGGUGCACAAUUUUAAUGCGAUGUUUAUGUUUAUAUGAUUCAUUCCAUUAUAUGUUUUUAUUUAUUUUAGUUAGCACAGAAUAUAUACAGCCCUUUUCCGGGAAACCUGUUUGAAAACAGUUAUUUUAGUGAUUCCAGUUAGUCAUACUUCUGACACAUUUCAGCCUUGAAUGAAUGAUCUGGUCUGUGUUUACACUCACUGGAUGCAUAUUAGAUGAAGUGUGUGCCGAUACAGUAAUGCCAGUGCAUCUGUCCUGAUAAUGGCAGCCAAUAGUCAUAAUAGUGUGUGCAGAAAUGGACGCAUUAUUGCCCAUAGAUCAGCGAUGACGGGAAAUCUAUUUGUCUUCCCUGUCUUUUCAGCUUGUCUGUCUGUUUUCACUACUGCAUCCUCCUUAUUCUCUGUUAAGGAUAGUGACUACAACUGGUUCCAUAAAAAAAUACAAAAAAAGUCAAACAUUUCGACCGAUAGCAAGUGAAUGGAAGUGCUUAAUCCUUAGAUAAUGUUAAUAGU